UACGAAGGGUGCAAGCGUUACUCGGAAUUACUGGGCGUAAAGCGUGCGUAGGUGGUUUGUUAAGUCUGAUGUGAAAGCCCUGGGCUCAACCUGGGAAUUGCAUUGGAUACUGGCAGGCUAGAGUGCGGUAGAGGAUGGCGGAAUUCCCGGUGUAGCAGUGAAAUGCGUAGAUAUCGUGAGGAAGACCAGUGGCGAAGGCGGGUCUCUGGACGAGUUCCUGACACUGAGGCACGAAGGCUAGGGGGAGCAAAACGGG
rnacentral:rRNA from 1 species